rnacentral:misc_RNA from 1 species
UUUCCGUAGGUGAACCUGCGGAAGGAUCAUUAAAGAGAUCAUGCCCUCACGGGUAGACCUCCCACCCUUUGUUUACAAUACCUUUGUUGCUUUGGCGGGCCCGUUUGGCCCCGCGCUGAACAACCGGCCCCGGCUGGUCAGUGCCCGCCAGAGAACCGAAAACUCUGAAUUAAAUGUCGUCUGAGUACUAUGUAAUAGUUAAAAUUUUCAACAACGGAUCUCUUGGUUCUG